GAUCAUGGCUCAGGAUGAACGCUAGCUACAGGCUUAACACAUGCAAGUCGAGGGGCAGCAUGGUCUUAGCUUGCUAAGGCCGAUGGCGACCGGCGCACGGGUGAGUAACGCGUAUCCAACCUGCCUUACACUCUUGGACAGCCUUCUGAAAGGGAGAUUAAUACAAGAUGUUAUCAUGAGUAAGCAUUUUCACAUGAUUAAAGGUUUAACCGGUGUAAGAUGGGGAGUGCGUU
rnacentral:rRNA from 1 species